UUAUUUAAUAUUUGUGUUGUUGAAACGAAGCAUAGAAGUGAAGCAAAAGCAAAGUCCAUGAUCCUAGAAAGUAGAAAGUGUCAUUUUCUUAUCCCACCUUGUCUCUUGUUGAUUACCUAUUUGACACUGGGACUAGAUUAUUACUAUACCAUGUAACAAUCCGUGCCGUGCACAAAAUAAAAUAUUUUAUAAAAUAAUUAUUAAAUAAUAAAUUUUACUUUAAUGUAUUUUAAAAGUAAUAACAAAAAUAAGUAAAUACUCUUUAAUGUUUUGAGUAAGGUAAAAUUUCUAAAACAAAUUCAGUUCAUGUAUGAUACUUAUUUCUAAAAUUUUGAAUUUAAAAUAGUUAUGGAUUUUUAAAAUAGUAUAUAAUUUAAUUGAAAAAACAUUAAUAUAUCUAUAUAUAUAAAGAAGGGUUUCUCUCCUUCUUAAGCAUGCCACAUGGGAUUCCACGUCACAAAUUCGGAGACUGAGAGUGUGACACGUGUCACUUUAACCAAAGUGCACCGUUUCAUUUAAGCGAGAUACAUUGUCUGUUUGCUGGGCUUUAAUUACUUUUCCUUAGAAUAGUCAUGUUGAAGUUGGGCUGUCUGUAUAUUUCUUUGUUGGGCUCUACUAAUAAAAUUAACUGAAGUCCAGAAAGAUUACCUUUAUCACAUAUUAUCUUAUUAUCUAACGACGAUCUUCUGCAGCCGCAAGCGUUCAACUCCGUCUUCAUCUAACCGCAAUUAAGAACAGUGACAAAAAAAAGUGUUGCAAGAAACGUUAUUUCCCGACCAAUCUCUGUUCGGAAUACAACGGAUCUCUCUUCACGAUUGAUUUCCUCCCACCGCCUUAUGAAACCAGCACCGUUACGGAAGUCGGAAGACCUAUACAUUGAAUGAUCAUCAUUAAUGCCACCUUCCCACCACUGCUUACAUGAUGUCUCAUUCAAUACCCCCUUCUUUCUUCCAUGAACAAAAGGGGAGGUAACCCACUAUUCAGCGCUAAUCAUAUAACGCGGUAAUCAAGCGGGGAUGAGCUAGACGCCACGGCCGAGCCAUUGCUAAGGGUUAACAAGAAGGUUGGUAACCAUUGCUAAGGGUUAACAAGAAGGUUGGUCAGGUCAAUUAUCAUGAUCAAGCCAAGGUUCAUGAGCUUCAAGUCAUGUUUGCAGGGGAAGCAGCACAUAGAUCCCAUUACUCUACGAUUCAUCCUUACUUUAGUGGUUUCAGGCCAAGCAUAUUUAUUAUGAUUUUUUAGUGACCGUUUUAAGAUAUGUUUUUUGGUCAAUGUGUUUAGAGAAGCUUAAUUAGUUUUGUUAGGUUUAAGAAAAGAAUGUAAAGAUAUUUGAUUGAAUUUGCAUUUUUCUUUGUUCUU